UCUCCAUCAGUGUCUGUGCAACGCAAGCCACAGUUUAUAGACCCACAGACUUUAAGACCAGAAGGCUACAGACUAACGUCCACGUUUGCUCCAGAUCAUCCCAUCCUCCCAGGGGGCAGGAAAUGGCUACAAUGGAGCUGGCUCAGGGGCCGGUGACCUUCGAGGAGG